GUGAAUACGGAGUGCUUGUCAGGGCUCCCAACAGACCUCUCAAUCCUGCCUCUAGUCUUUGAGAAAAUUCAUAGAAUUUCUUUAGUUUGCCUACUAAUGGAACAACUGCGCCCCAUGCCUUCUCUUGCAGUUUCUCAUCAUUGGGAUGCUGUAUUGCCUCUCGUAUUUCAUGGCCAGCUCCUCUAUAUGACUGCAAGUCUUCCAGUAUUCCUUCUGCAUCCUUUAACACUACAUUCACCUGAUUAUAAAUUUCCUUUUCAGAUUCUGUAGGUUGGGCAUUUUCAAAAUCAAGGAAAAAAUUUGGCCCCUGCUCAAGGUCUGUGCAUGUCAAAACUUUAAGAAGGUUCCCCAUGUUAAGGUACCUACAGCCAGUGCUGCACUCUGUUCUUGGCCUCCACUCAGUUGGUAGUAUCUUCUUGCAGUCUUAAGAGAGAACUCCUCU
rnacentral:lncRNA from 1 species